UGAAUCAGUGUGUGUGUUAGUGGAAGCGUCUGGAAAGGCGCGCGAUACAGGGUGACAGCCCCGUACACAAAAAUGCACAUAUUGUGAGCUCGAUGAGUAGGGCGGGACACGUGGUAUCCUGUCUGAAUAUGGGGGGCCCAUCCUCCAAGGCUAAAUACUCCUGACUGACCGAUAGUGAACCAGUACCGUGAGGGAAAGGCGAAAAGAACCCCGGCGAGGGGAGUGAAAAAGAACCUGAAACCGUGUACGUACAAGCAGUGGGAGCACGCUUAGGCGUGUGACUGCGUACCUUUUGUAUAAUGGGUCAGCGACUUAUAUUCUGUAGCAAGGUUAACCGAAUAGGGGAGCCGAAGGGAAACCGAGUCUUAACUGGGCGUUAAGUUGCAGGGUAUAGACCCGAAACCCGGUGAUCUAGCCAUGGGCAGGUUGAAGGUUGGGUAACACUAACUGGAGGACCGAACCGACUAAUGUUGAAAAAUUAGCGGAUGACUUGUGGCUGGGGGUGAAAGGCCAAUCAAACCGGGAGAUAGCUGGUUCUCCCCGAAAGCUAUUUAGGUAGCGCCUCGUGAAUUCAUCUCCGGGGGUAGAGCACUGUUUCGGCAAGGGGGUCAUCCCGACUUACCAACCCGAUGCAAACUGCGAAUACCGGAGAAUGUUAUCACGGGAGACACACGGCGGGUGCUAACGUCCGUCGUGAAGAGGGAAACAACCCAGACCGCCAGCUAAGGUCCCAAAGUCAUGGUUAAGUGGGAAACGAUGUGGGAAGGCCCAGACAGCCAGGAUGUUGGCUUAGAAGCAGCCAUCAUUUAAAGAAAGCGUAAUAGCUCACUGGUCGAGUCGGCCUGCGCGGAAGAUGUAACGGGGCUAAACCAUGCACCGAAGCUGCGGCAGCGACGCUUAUGCGUUGUUGGGUAGGGGAGCGUUCUGUAAGCCUGCGAAGGUGUGCUGUGAGGCAUGCUGGAGGUAUCAGAAGUGCGAAUGCUGACAUAAGUAACGAUAAAGCGGGUGAAAAGCCCGCUCGCCGGAAGACCAAGGGUUCCUGUCCAACGUUAAUCGGGGCAGGGUGAGUCGACCCCUAAGGCGAGGCCGAAAGGCGUAGUCGAUGGGAAACAGGUUAAUAUUCCUGUACUUGGUGUUACUGCGAAGGGGGGACGGAGAAGGCUAUGUUGGCCGGGCGACGGUUGUCCCGGUUUAAGCGUGUAGGCUGGUUUUCCAGGCAAAUCCGGAAAAUCAAGGCUGAGGCGUGAUGACGAGGCACUACGGUGCUGAAGCAACAAAUGCCCUGCUUCCAGGAAAAGCCUCUAAGCAUCAGGUAACAUCAAAUCGUACCCCAAACCGACACAGGUGGUCAGGUAGAGAAUACCAAGGCGCUUGAGAGAACUCGGGUGAAGGAACUAGGCAAAAUGGUGCCGUAACUUCGGGAGAAGGCACGCUGAUAUGUAGGUGAAGUCCCUUGCGGAUGGAGCUGAAAUCAGUCGAAGAUACCAGCUGGCUGCAACUGUUUAUUAAAAACACAGCACUGUGCAAACACGAAAGUGGACGUAUACGGUGUGACGCCUGCCCGGUGCCGGAAGGUUAAUUGAUGGGGUCAGCGCAAGCGAAGCUCUUGAUCGAAGCCCCGGUAAACGGCGGCCGUAACUAUAACGGUCCUAAGGUAGCGAAAUUCCUUGUCGGGUAAGUUCCGACCUGCACGAAUGGCGUAAUGAUGGCCAGGCUGUCUCCACCCGAGACUCAGUGAAAUUGAACUCGCUGUGAAGAUGCAGUGUACCCGCGGCAAGACGGAAAGACCCCGUGAACCUUUACUAUAGCUUGACACUGAACAUUGAGCCUUGAUGUGUAGGAUAGGUGGGAGGCUUUGAAGUGUGGACGCCAGUCUGCAUGGAGCCGGCCUUGAAAUACCACCCUUUAAUGUUUGAUGUUCUAACGUGGACCCGUGAUCCGGGUUGCGGACAGUGUCUGGUGGGUAGUUUGACUGGGGCGGUCUCCUCCUAAAGAGUAACGGAGGAGCACGAAGGUUGGCUAAUCCUGGUCGGACAUCAGGAGGUUAGUGCAAUGGCAUAAGCCAGCUUGACUGCGAGCGUGACGGCGCGAGCAGGUGCGAAAGCAGGUCAUAGUGAUCCGGUGGUUCUGAAUGGAAGGGCCAUCGCUCAACGGAUAAAAGGUACUCCGGGGAUAACAGGCUGAUACCGCCCAAGAGUUCAUAUCGACGGCGGUGUUUGGCACCUCGAUGUCGGCUCAUCACAUCCUGGGGCUGAAGUAGGUCCCAAGGGUAUGGCUGUUCGCCAUUUAAAGUGGUACGCGAGCUGGGUUUAGAACGUCGUGAGACAGUUC
rnacentral:rRNA from 1 species